AAAAUGGCCCCUUUCGGGGCCAUCCAAACUGCCAAUUCCGCAUGC
rfam:Arthrobacter sp. ERGS1:01, complete genome.